GACGAACGCUGGCGGCGUGCUUAACACAUGCAAGUCGAACGGUAAGGCUCCAGCUUGCUGGGGUACACGAGUGGCGAACGGGUGAGUAACACGUGGGUGACCUGCCCUGCACUUCGGGAUAAGCCUGGGAAACUGGGUCUAAUACCGGAUAGGACCGCACCGUGAGGGUGUGGUGGAAAGUUUUUUCGGUGUGGGAUGGGCCCGCGGCCUAUCAGCUUGUUGGUGGGGUAAUGGCCUACCAAGGCGGCGACGGGUAGCCGGCCUGAGAGGGUGGACGGCCACAUUGGGACUGAGACACGGCCCAGACUCCUACGGGAGGCAGCAGUGGGGAAUAUUGCACAAUGGGCGGAAGCCUGAUGCAGCGACGCCGCGUGGGGGAUGACGGCCUUCGGGUUGUAAACUCCUUUCACCAUCGACGAAGGGUUUCUGACGGUAGAUGGAGAAGAAGCACCGGCUAACUACGUGCCAGCAGCCGCGGUAAUACGUAGGGUGCGAGCGUUGUCCGGAAUUACUGGGCGUAAAGAGCUCGUAGGUGGUUUGUCGCGUCGUCUGUGAAAUUCCGGGGCUUAACUCCGGGCGUGCAGGCGAUACGGGCAUAACUUGAGUACUGUAGGGGAGACUGGAAUUCCUGGUGUAGCGGUGAAAUGCGCAGGUAUCAGGAGGAACACCGGUGGCGAAGGCGGGUCUCUGGGCAGUAACUGACGCUGAGGAGCGAAAGCAUGGGGAGCGAACAGGAUUAGAUACCCUGGUAGUCCAUGCCGUAAACGGUGGGCGCUAGGUGUGGGUUUCCUUCCACGGGAUCCGUGCCGUAGCUAACGCAUUAAGCGCCCCGCCUGGGGAGUACGGCCGCAAGGCUAAAACUCAAAGGAAUUGACGGGGGCCCGCACAAGCGGCGGAGCAUGUGGAUUAAUUCGAUGCAACGCGAAGAACCUUACCUGGGCUUGACAUAUACAGGAUCGCGCCAGAGAUGGUGUUUCCCUUGUGGCUUGUAUACAGGUGGUGCAUGGUUGUCGUCAGCUCGUGUCGUGAGAUGUUGGGUUAAGUCCCGCAACGAGCGCAACCCUUGUCUUAUGUUGCCAGCACGUUGUGGUGGGGACUCGUAAGAAACUGCCGGGGUUAACUCGGAGGAAGGUGGGGAUGGCGUCAAAUCAUCAUGCCCCUUAUGUCCAGGGCUUCACACAUGCUACAAUGGUCGGUACAGUGGGUUGCCAGUCCGUGAGGGCGAGCUAAUCCCGCAAAGCCGGUCUCAGUUCGGAUCGGGGUCUGCAACUCGACCCCGUGAAGUCGGAGUCGCUAGUAAUCGCAGAUCAGCAACGCUGCGGUGAAUACGUUCCCGGGCCU
rnacentral:rRNA from 1 species